AAACCAGCACCUCAAGUGGUCAGGAUGAUUAUUGGGCCUAAAGCAUCCGCAGCCUGUUCUGUAAGUUUUCGGUUAAAUCCAUUAGCUCAACUAAUGGGCCGCCGAAAAUACUGUAGAACUAGGGAGUGGGAGAGGUAGACGGUAUUCGGUAGGAAGGGGUAAAAUCCUUUGAUCUAUUGAGGACCACCUGUGGCGAAGGCGGUCUACCAGAACACGUUCGACGGUGAGGGAUGAAAGCUGGGGGAGCAAACCGGAUUAGAAACCCCGGUAGUCC
rnacentral:rRNA from 1 species